GGAAUCUUCGGCAAUGGACGGAAGUCUGACCGAGCAACGCCGCGUGAGUGAAGAAGGUUUUCGGAUCGUAAAGCUCUGUUGUAAGAGAAGAACGAGUGUGAGAGUGGAAAGUUCACACUGUGACGGUAUCUUACCAGAAAGGGACGGCUAACUACGUGCCAGCAGCCGCGGUAAUACGUAGGUCCCGAGCGUUGUCCGGAUUUAUUGGGCGUAAAGCGAGCGCAGGCGGUUAGAUAAGUCUGAAGUUAAAGGCUGUGGCUUAACCAUAGUACGCUUUGGAAACUGUUUAACUUGAGUGCAAGAGGGGAGAGUGGAAUUCCAUGUGUAGCGGUGAAAUGCGUAGAUAUAUGGAGGAACACCGGUGGCGAAAGCGGCUCUCUGGCUUGUAACUGACGCUGAGGCUCGAAAGCGUGGGGAGCAAACA
rnacentral:rRNA from 2 species